rnacentral:rRNA from 1 species
GACGAACCACACGAACGUUAUUCGGAAUUACUGGGCUUAAAGGGUGCGUAGGCGGCGUAGAAAGUUGGGUGUGAAAUCCCUCGGCUCAACCGAGGAACUACGCCCAAAACUACUAUGCUUGAGGAAGAUAGAGGUAAGCGGAACUUACGGUGGAGCGGUGAAAUGCGUUGAUAUCGUAAGGAACACCUGUGGCGAAAGCGGCUUACUGGGUCUUUUCUGACGCUGAUGCACGAAAGCCAGGGGAGCAAACGGG